UGUCGUCAAAAUUUCAGUCUGAUGAGGGGUGUCAAAACCUAAGUCAAUGUAUUGAACAUUAUUUGCAAUCAGUUCUGCAUUGCCCCAGAUGACCACCGUCAGUAACCUGGUCUCAUUUCUCCAACACUGCAAGAAGAUACUAUGGUGUUACUCCUGGCUCUUCACAGUGUGAGUGACCAUCAGGUCAGUGACUGUCUACAUGCGGCACUGUUUGCACGAUGUUGCCAGCAGGGUUCCUCGAUGUGUCCGCAAUGGUACAAAUGUGGAACUAGCUCGGACGUCAAUUCCAUCCAAGUCCUAAGCUCCAGGAUAUCGAGGACCAGUUAUAACAGUUUGCGGCAGCUAGUUUGCCUAAGGAGAAGAUAAAAUGGGUUUAUGCCACCUUUCCCAAGGGGAUACAGUGGCAUGCUAAUAAGAGGAUCUAUAGUCCAAGUUCUUUAUACAUUUGACUCAGUUUUGCAGUCAGUGCAAUAAAAUCCAAUAAUAUCACAUACUCUCUCAACCUGUGAAGGUUUUAGUUUCCACCUGCCCUUCUGUGGACCGACAAUUGUCAGGCAGUGUAUUUGUGGCAUUUUGCAUUCUACUGCCACUACAGCACACAGGUCUUCAGCCUAUAGCUCCAUUUAUGGCUGCUUUGUUACAACUCCUUGUUCAUGGAUUUUUAACUUGUUUUAUUAAUAAUUUAUUGAGAAAUAACAAUACAGGAAAUUUUUAAAAAUCUAUUUAUUUCUUCAUUUGUAUCAAAGAAAUUCUUGUCAUUCUUUUAGUACGACUCCCUUUUUGACAUUGCUUGUACUGCCAACCAAACAACAACAAUAAAACAAGAAAAAACUAUAUAUUAAGUGGCAUCUCAGCAUUCAGACGACGACUUAUUUUAUUCUGUAAAUAUCUAAUAAAAUGCUCCUCAGACAAUAACAACUGACUAAACAAAUACUAAAACAAUAUAAUGCACAGAAACAAAGCACAAACCUACAAACACACAAAAACUGCCAUUUGAAUCUGAUAUUUUUUACAUAUUUACACUACUAUAUUUCAUACACAUUUCUUCAACACAUAUAAACGCAAGGAAAACAUUGCUGAGUGCAUAUUGAUACAGAUAUCAGAAACUGAACAAAAAUAACUUUUUAAUAAAAAGUGGGAUUUAAGAGACAUUAUCACAAUCUUGCAAUGAAGUACAAUUAGCUGGUACCCAAAGAGUUGAACCUGCAGCAAGAAGAAUAGCCAUGAACAAAAUAUAAUCCAUUAUGAAAGGAAAACAGAUCAAGAGAAACUGGUACAAUCAGUAUCUGUUCACAUGUACACCAGAUUAUAGUUCUGUAUAUUGCUUUAUGUCACCAUGGUCUGUUUUAAUAAUUGUCAUAGAAAUAUUGGUUAAACCAUGAGUGAUUUAAUCUGUUCAAUAAAUUUUCUCUCUAUAUCGCGACUUUGUAAAAUUUUAGAAGAAAUUCAACUAGAUGUUUACUGUGAGGUACAGGCUUCAACAGCAGAACAAGGACCUGUGCUGUUGAUUGCAGAACACGUACUUUGUAUCUACUUAAUUUUUUGUUGUUGUUGAUAAAAGAGGUAUGAAGACAACUGUCAACACUGACUUUCUCCCUUUAAUCCUUGUCAAUGAUAAGAGGUUCUCUUGAUUGUAAUUUUAGUUUCAGGAUUAGCGAUAAAACUGCAAAAACUUUACCAGUCACUCUUGUGUGCUAAAAGACAAUUACAAAAUAUUUCUAUAUAUAUAGUCUGUCACCAUACCAACAUUAAACUGUGUAAUGAUGCUUUCUGUCAGUCAUAUUUUAUGUUGCAUUUUUAUAUGCAUUCAACAGUAAAACUGGUCUGGCUGAAAAUGAGUGAAUAGUACGUGAAACAUUACACCUAUCAUGUGUCCAACAAAACAGAUUUUUGUUUGUUAAGACCAUAAGAUAUCAGAAUAAGUGAAAAUUUUAUUUUGUUUUCCUUUAAAGAUUAGGCUCAUAAAAAACUGAAUAGUUACUGCACAAGUUAAUUAACAAGUAGUAAUUAUACUGAUUUCCUACCUAACCAUCUUUAUACAUUUUGGCAUCGUUAACAGAGAAAGUACACACAUUCAUUCAGCAAUGUUAAAUUACUGUAACAGCAGCAAAAAGGCUUGUCAAGAAGCCCUAGAUUUCACUUAUCUUUUCAGAUGUGAUUUCAAGAAGAGAUGGGAAAAUGAAGAGGAACAUACAAAGUCAUAGUGUGUCUAUUAGGUGUUGGAAUGAAGGGAAACAUGUAUGGCUAACAACUCUGUUUGUAGCAGUGGCCACAGUGCAAAAACAUGCUUCGAUUUUUUUUCAGUAAUAGACAAAUGCAGUGGUAAGUGUCUCACAUUCAUCUGUGAAAUCAGCAUGAGGCUUAUAUCUUAUCACUGGAUGGCAACCAUUGACAAAUUGUUCUUGCACUGUGGCAAACUGAAUUUUCUGAAUAGUGUGAAUAACAAAUAUCUGUGAGCAACUAAAAAAACUUAUUCAAAUAUGACUAAAUUUUAUAAAUGAUUAUGUAUUAUGAAUAUGCUUAAUAAACAAACAGUAAAAUCAGAAUAGAAAGCAGAACGUAUGAAAUAGAUAUUACAUUAAAACAAAUAGCAUGUGAUAGCAAAAUUUAGUGGGCUGGAUAACAAGCUGAAAGUACUACUAUGUCGAAGCUACAAAUGAUCAAUAAAAUAAAAACAUCUCAAAUGUAUGUGUAAGGAAACUAAGUCAACUAUUUCCGUUUUGAAAGAAGGCAAUAUUUCACACAUUUCUCCCAAUGAAAAAUGUAUUUUCUGUAAGAGAAGUAGUUUGCAAAUGACAGAACUCUAAAUGUUUGCAAUAAAAUCUUUGAGUUUCUAGCUGUUUAUAUGGUCAGUGUGGCCAUGACAUUAUGAAAGGUAUGUACCCUCUUUCCAUCUUUAAACACCCAGCUGCUCUGUGGCCACUUAACUCACACCUAGCCUCUGUUCAGUUGUGUUAUUGCUUAUAUUUUCAGUGCACUGUAUUGUAAAACAGUGUAGUGCCUGUCUGCACCUUACUUUGGACAGAAACAGAGCUAUACCACCAUAUGUUGCACUCACUAGACAGCUACACAAGAUAAGACCCAUCCAAGAAGGUAAAUCAUUAAAAUGAGCAUAGCUUAGUGGAGGAAAAUGUAUGCAAUUUCAAUAAUACAUAUUAUCUGUCCAGUGAGUGUUUUUUGGGACAGUAUUACUACAGAGACCAUCAAAAUGAGUGUGACACCAAAUCUUGUGAAUUGUUCUAUAGGUUUCGCUCUCAGAGUAGCUUCACAACCUGCAAAGAAAGUAAUAAGAUGGUGCAACAAAAUGCUGCAUUUUGUGGCGCAGAUGUGAGAAGUGGGUGUGAACUGCUGGCCAUAUAAUCCUGGUUGGAGGUUAAAUUGGUUAUGGAGUGGCUGUUGCAGGGAAUUAAAUUUUCACCAUCACAGAAGACUAUGUAAAGAGAGAGACUGUGCAAUACUUUCACUACACCAGAACAUGGAAGGAGAGUUUAUGCCUUGUGACAUGUUGCAGACACACCGAAUUGAUGACAAGAAAUGGGUGAAAAAUUUAUUGCACUGACAUGUUACAAGAACCUUCAUUUACACUUAAUCCUUGUUUGGACUGUUAUUUUGUCCUAUGUGUGUUUCUUGCAGACUUCCGAUAAAUUAUGAAUUUAGAUGUUAAGGACAGUCAAUUCUUAUAUCCACAUAACAAAGUUAAUCAGAGGUACAUUCUUACCUCCUAAUUACUUUAGAUGAUACGCUAUUGCACUGAGAAAGCAGAGGACAGGUUCAUUUCAGCUGCCUUCUGUCUUCAUUUAUUAAUAGUAUGGCGAAAAGCUCCGUCUCACCACAUGCUCCCCCUCCUCAAACUUGAUGCUGCUGUGCCAUAAUUACUGGUGACCUGCCACUCAAUCUGUUUCAAUUCCAUCUCCAGUUUUUCACAAUAAUAUUGGUUUUUUAUCUUUUGUUCUUGUAGAAUAACGCCAAAAAAUAAUAUAAUAUAAUUCAUCACACCUAAGUUUGCAUUUUUGAAGCACAGUAACAAAGCAAAAAAUAACUUACUUUAUUCAGUUAUGUAAAAAUAUGUGCCAGGUGGCAUGCCAAUAACAUAUCAUGUCCCUUCUUGCCACCAAGUAUUAUUUCAAUUAUCGUACACUCAAGAAUUGUCCACACCACUCUUUUAUCCUACAUUUUCAGCCAAACACCACUUAUUAUAUACAAUGUUAAAAAGUAAAGCAUUUACACAAGCAUCACAAACUGUUUAAGACCCAGCAGGAAAAAGUGAUGGUUGAUACAGAAUUGGAAGCUCACAAACUAAGGUUUCCCCAAGAAAAAUGAGCCGACAAUGGAAUAAAUAGAAAGGCAGCAAACAGAACUUAAAUUGAAAUGAACAUACAAAGUACAGGAUGACGUCAAUCUAUAGAACUUAAGAUACAAACUGCAUUCCUGAGACACUGCUAAAGCAAAGUUAGACAGGAAUCGGCCAUCUAUUCUGAGAAUAAUGUUUGAAACUGGAGACAGAAACAAUGACAGAGGUAUUUGGGGAGCAGCACUGGGAAUAAAUAUGUAAGUAACAUAAAAUCAUAGAUUCAAGGCAAGAGUUUCGUUCUGUUGGCAGGCUUCUAUGAUUCAAAGUAAUUCACCAUUUUAUCUGUUUUUAACACAGUUUAUUCCUCUUUUGGUUGUUCUCACUGUCAUAAAAAUAUGACAUUGUAAAUGGCUUGCAUUUCGUACAAUGUGGCAAUUUAUUUCAUGAGAAUCUCCCAACUUUCAGUUGACAAACUCAUUAUGUCGACUAAAAUAACAAUGCUUUAAAAUACAGUUAUUGGAAGAAUGAACAGCAGAGUCUGAACUAUAAUAGACUAGAUGGGCUAUUCACUGACUACUGUGCUUUUGUAUGUCAUCAGAAACCUAUAUAAAGAAAAGCAAUCAACAAAACCAACUAUUGAACAAUUUUCCCUCUUAAACGCAUAAACAUGAAGUGAAACUACAAACCUGGCUUCAUAUAAUUGGCUUGAUUAUAUUAGUUCAGCUGAACAAAAUGGCUAUAAUUUAGACAAAGGAAUUUUUGUUUGUUUUUAGUAUAAGGUAAGUUCCUCAUUUGGCUUCAUAAAGCUGAGUGGACCUCUUCCAGAUCUCCCAGCUCAGAUAUUUUUUUCUGAGGUCGUACUGGGAAUGGAACCCAGGUCCAUCUGUACCGAAGGCAGUGAUGCUAAUCAUUCAGCUAUGGAGCUUGGAUAAAGAAGCAGUGCACCAUCAAGAUUCAUCUACUGGCAAUAACAGCUGGAUGGAUUGGCGACAUGCCAAUCACGUCCCACGAUACGGAUAGCUCCUCGUAUUGCCUUGUACGCACCAGUCAGCCAGUCGGAACAGGCCCAAGGCCUAAUGCUUUAUGUUAUGCUUUAUAAAGUAAGUAACCAUAUCCAGCGAAAUCAUCAAAGCAGACAAGGUAAGGAUGAACUCAGAUUCAUGAUGUAUUCUAAGCAACUGAGAAA